rnacentral:rRNA from 1 species
UACGAAGGGGGCUAGCGUUGCUCGGAAUCACUGGGCGUAAAGGGUGCGUAGGCGGGUCUUUAAGUCGGGGGUGAAAUCCUGGAGCUCAACUCCAGAACUGCCUUCGAUACUGAGGAUCUCGAGUCCGGGAGAGGUGAGUGGAACUCCGAGUGUAGAGGUGAAAUUCGUAGAUAUUCGGAAGAACACCAGUGGCGAAGGCGGCUCACUGGCCCGGUACUGACGCUGAGGUGCGAAAGCGUGGGGAGCAAACAGG